AGAGCUCUUCUGGGACUAAAUUGCCAUUUAUAAGUGACAAGAAUGAGAUGCAGUGUUCAGUCACCUUAGAAAACCAAUCAUCCCACACAGAGGAAGCUUUGGAUAUAGGGCCAUGGAACUGGUCUUAAGUGUAAUGAAAAGUCUCUCCUGCCUUAAAUAUCAGUGUAGUGAUAUCUGAUAGUAAGAAAAUAUAAAUCAGCAUAACCAUGGGAUGCAGCAAGAGGAAUACUGAGCCAGGAAAGAAAGCAUUUUAAUUUAUUAAAAAAAUGAAUUCCUCAUUCAGUCUCUAGUGGAUACAGAAAAAACUGCAGAAAAGUCAGAGGAUAUCAUGGCAGUGUAAUAGGAUGAUAUGUUAAACUUGUGGAAAAGCCUCCAAUUCUGUUUUAACACAUGAGAAGGAGGGAUGACUGAUUUCAUUUCUGGCAUUAAGAAAAUAUCGCAUGUUGGGAAACUGUUUCUGCCUUGAUGAUUUUAUACACAGAAGAGAUGAAAAAAUGAGGCACAUGCUUAGAUAUAUUGGGAAUGAGAUGGGACUGUGGCAUCAUCACAAGGGUACACAAAUACUGAGAGUGACAGUUAGAGGAACGGUUCCCCAUUGGUUGUGAGCUCAGGUGAGACUAGUAGGCCUGUGUUUUAGCAAACCUUGGGCAGUUGGAAUGAAGAUUCCAUGACACGCCCAGCUUAUAAUUCUAUUAUUGCAACAGCAGCCCGUUACCUGGGAAACUGGCCCUGUCUCCCACACUCUUGUGAGAGUCUGAGCUAGAGGCAGCACCUUCAGCUCUGAGCUCAAGCGUUUCCUACAUUGUUUUGGCAGUUAAGGACCCUAAAAUUCUGUGAGGAGGGAUCGUUUUUCUAAACAGGCGUGUUCCAGGCAAAUCACAGAGGUGAACUUUCCUGAUAUCGUCGAGAAUUCCUACACCCAGCAGGAAGAGACCAAACCGAGUUUCAGAGACAGCAAAAAUAGACUUCUUCUGAGCCAGGUGGCCUACCUCCAGAACUACCGGCUGAAGACAGACAAAGAUCGAAAAGAUGACGAUGAAGAACAGAAAUACAGAGACCGCAAAAAUAAACUUUUUUUGAGUCAAGUGGCCUACUACCUGGGCUGCCGGCAUAAGACGGAAGUCCCUGGCUUUCAGUGUUGUGCCCAAAAAGUCAACAUGGUGGCAUCUGGCAGGCCUCCUUUUAGAAUAAACCGAGAGGUGAACGUUCCAGAAGGCAUUGAGAAAUCCGGCUCACAACAGGAAGAAAACAAACCGAAUGUCGGAGCCAGCAAAAACAGACUUCUUCUGAGCCAGGUGGCCUACUUCCAGAACUACCGGAUGAAGAAAGACGGUAGGUUCUGUAGGUUGACCACCACGAAAGUGAUCAAUGAUGUCCUGUGUUGUUUUGAGAAACUAACAGUUCUCUUCAUCAAAAUUAGUUUCAUUCUUCCCAUACCUGUAGA
rnacentral:lncRNA from 13 species